AUGAACGCUGGCGGCGUGCCUAAUACAUGCAAGUCGAGCGAACAGAUGAGGAGCUUGCUCCUCUGACGUUAGCGGCGGACGGGUGAGUAACACGUGGAUAACCUACCUAUAAGACUGGGAUAACUUCGGGAAACCGGAGCUAAUACCGGAUAAUAUAUUGAACCGCAUGGUUCAAUAGUGAAAGACGGUUUUGCUGUCACUUAUAGAUGGAUCCGCGCCGCAUUAGCUAGUUGGUAAGGUAACGGCUUACCAAGGCAACGAUGCGUAGCCGACCUGAGAGGGUGAUCGGCCACACUGGAACUGAGAUACGGUCCAGACUCCUACGGGAGGCAGCAGUAGGGAAUCUUCCGCAAUGGGCGAAAGCCUGACGGAGCAACGCCGCGUGAGUGAUGAAGGUCUUCGGAUCGUAAAACUCUGUUAUUAGGGAAGAACAAAUGUGUAAGUAACUAUGCACGUCUUGACGGUACCUAAUCAGAAAGCCACGGCUAACUACGUG
rnacentral:rRNA from 1 species